rnacentral:sRNA from 1 species
GGAUGGCACUUGCUCCUUCUUUACAUUCUCCCAUUCGUUGUUUUCUUACAUUUUAUGCUAUUUGGAUAAUCGCUGUGAUUCAAGGCGGAUUUAAAAAGCACUCAAAUUUCUUUGCGUAUGUUGGCAAAAGUUCAAACAGCUUGAUGUCAAGAUGGUGUCACGUACCCCCAUAGGAGGUCGCUCCACCUUUUCUCUGGAGUGGCAAUUGAUGCUGGCGGGCGCUGGCGGUUGAGCUCCGGCUGUGGCUCAGUGGAUGGGGCGCGGUUCUUUGCCAACAUCUAUUGCCAAAAAGGAGGGACAAAAAACUAAAGUCAACCAGCUUGUGGAUGGACAAAUACAGCGGGUUCCUGGUUCUAAUGGCGACUGUUCCGGAUAAAUGCCAAUGGAGUCCCCGGGUAUUGUGGUCCUGAUGGCAGCCUCUGCGGCCAAUAGGGUCCCUUUUAGGUUCUCGUUUGUCCGUCCGUCCGUCUAGUCUUUGGGGUUUUCUGAUGUGCUGCUUUCUCUGCACCGUAAGGUCAACAUUGGCUGAUGGGCAAGGAAAUAUCCUCUACUAUCCACUACCUAACCUAACUAUGAGCUCAUGCUUAGGUUACUGUAUAGAACCCAACCAAAGGGUAAGUAAUAAAAAAAAG